rnacentral:lncRNA from 10 species
CAAGGGUUUUGAACCAAGUCUUGGUGAGUAAGCUGUUUAGUUGGUUCCCAGUGUUAUCUUCCAAGAAUCGUAUAUUCUAGAUUGUAUCUUCCAGAUGUAUCCUGGAGCAAGCAGCUAAGUCACUUUUGUUUGGUCUCAAUGUUGUUUAACACAGGGAUAAAAAUACUGGUUUUUAUUUUCAAAAGUAAGACCUGAAUUAAUUUACAUGGACCUUUUGUUUGUUUCAGCUUUGCCCGAAGUUUUUACAUACAAAUUCUACUAGUCACACCUGGCCAUUCAGUGCAGUUGCUGAAUUAAUAGAUAAUGCUUAUGAUCCUGAUGUGAACGCUAAACAAAUAUGGAUUGACAAAACAGUGAUAAAUGACCAUAUAUGCUUGACAUUCACCGACAAUGGGAAUGGUAUGACUUCUGAUAAAU